AUAGAACCUUUCCCUGCGCUGUUCAGGGGUCAACCCAUCCUCCUUUUGCUUAGAUUUAGCACCUCUGGCUUGAGCCCUUUCCCGAUCUUUUUCCCUCUGGUUACCGCGUCCGCUUCAAAGUUAAAUCCAAACAAUACCAAAUUUCAAGAAAUUAAAAUAAAUUAAAAUAAAUUAAAAUUCUCCAUAAUUAUUAUUCAGGUAAGAUCAAUGGAGAAACAAUAAUAUUAAGGCAGUGUUCUGAAAUCAAAAUUCCUCUUUUGUUUUGGAUCCUAACUAAAUGGAACUCAUAAGAUCUAACAAGAUUAUAUAAAAAAUGAGAAAUUUCGCUGUUUUAUUUUCUCCGAAUUUCAAGGGAAAAUAAACAGAAAGUUAACCUAAACCCUAAAUCGACGAGAAUUGGUAAUAGGAAAAAGGAUAUGAGUCAUAGAUGUUGAAUGAUUCUUCGACAAUGAAACGAGACGCGAGAAGCCCUACAAAUAAUUGAAAUCAGAAAAACUAUAAAUCAAGAAACGAAUUUCAGCAAAUAAAUAAAGAAGGAAAAGGAAGAGAG
rnacentral:lncRNA from 1 species